rnacentral:lncRNA from 1 species
CUUUCUAUCAGGCCUAGGAGAGCUAAGUUAUCUUGGAACCUCAAGAGGAGAGGAAUUUAUUCAACUUAUAGGUAUUUGAGGGUACAAACCCAUGGCAGGGCUCAGCUCUAAAAAAGUCUUGUCUAAGAUUCCUUCUAUGGAACAGAGUUACAUCAAUGCCAAUUUAAAGAGAGCUUAUGUGAAAAAUAAUUAUUCUUGCUGCACUUUAUACAAAUAAUCAGGCCAAGUAAAAUGAAACAAAUCAGUCUUACCAUGAUUUGUCUUAAUAAAAAUGGGAAACUGGAGAGAGAAAAAUUAUGUUUCAAGAACUAUGGUACACUUGUUAUUAAAUUCUAGUCUCAUCAGUUGUUUAUGAGUUUAUUUCCUGUAAUUAAGACUAAUCCUGCUUAUCCCUGUGAACCAACUAGUGAUCUCUGACUGCUGCUCAGAAGAAACAAGAGGCAUGGGUAAUGUAAAAAUCUGGAUCAAUAUUCUGGGCACAUAUUGAAAUCAUCUAGCAACCCCAUAUCAGCUUGUUUCCAACAGCUGCCCAGUUCAUGGAAAGCCUUCUAAUUUAGCUUACUUGGGAUAAUUUUACGUAUUUUGCCUUACUAUUGUGUAAUAUAUUGCUGUUGUACUCUUUGUGUAGGAAAGAGGAUGAGGUUACUCAAUGUUUUCUUAAAUUGAACACUUAUUAAUCUUCCAGAUACCAUCUUUUGUUGGAACUCAAAAGUUAUGAAUGUCCCUCACCGUACCAAUGCUUUCUGACUGAGCUGUUUUAUACCCCAAAUACAAGAGACUCUAAUAGUUAGGCAGGAACAUCAUCACCCCUAUUCUGCCUGAAGUAGUUACAGAAGAUAGAUCUUCAUCCCUCUGCAAACCUUGAAGUUAGGGUUGUCUUUUAAAAGGGAGGGGGGAAAUGUCAGAGGCAUUUGAACCAGAGCAAAUCCAUCUUGAAUAAGGGUGGAGUAAAAUGAGGCUGAGACCUACUGGGCUGCAUUUCCAGAUGGUUAAGGCAUUCUAAGUCACAGGAUGAAACAGGAGGUCAGCACAAGAUACAGGUCAUAAAGUCCUUGCUGAUAAAACAGUUUGCAGUAAAGAAGCUGGCUAAAAUCCACCAAAACCAAGAUGGCCAUGAAGAGUGACUUCUGGUCGUCCUCACUGCUACACUCCCACCAGUACCAUGACAGUUUACAAAUGCCAUGGCAAUGACAGGAAGUUCCCCUAUAUGGUCUAAAAAGGCGAGGCAUGAAUAAUCUACUCCUUGUUUAGCAUAUCAUCAAGAAAUAACCAUAAAAAUGGGUAACCAGCAGCCCCUGUGGCUGCUCUGUCUAUGGAGUAGCCAUUCUUUUAUUCCUCUACUUUCUUAAUAAACUUGCUUUUGCUUUGUACUGUGGACUCACCCUGAAUUUUUUCUUGCCCAAGACCCAAGAACCCUCUCUUGGGGUCUGGAUCAGGACCCUUCUCCUGUAACAAUACUAUUUAAGCAAGGCCCCAGAACCACUGCCUUGAGAGGGAAAUAUUUUUGAACUGAGGCCUUUCCCUGUGAUGGGUACAGCAUGCAUUACUAAACUUCUACUUGUUUUUCUUCUGUUAAUCUUACUUUUGUUUUCAGGAGGGUGUCUCAAUUAAGAACUUAAAAAAGAAAGGAAAAGAAAUUAUGUUUGCUCCCCUACAUACUUUAUGCACAGAGCCUGAAAGGAAUUGUUUACAAUACUUCGAAUAAUUUUGUGCAUGAAACAAAGUUCUGAUUGAGACCUGUCACAUGAGGUCAACUGUGGAAUUUUCCACUCAUGGCAUCAUGUCAGUGCUCAACUUUCAAAUUUUGGAACAUUUCAAGUUUAGAUUUUUAUAUUAUGGAUGCUCAACCUGUUCCCUGUGUAUCCAGGGUUUGUUAUUGCUGUUUUGUUGUUUUUACUGUUUGUUUAGUAACUUUCCUCGACAAAUUCUGUAAAUAAGUAUUUCCUUUUAUGACUGAAGUCCUACUCAGUUAACUUAGUGGUCAGCUAAUGACUGAACAGAGAUUUUCUUAAGUUCUUGGAACUAAUAAGUCUCUAGCCUUAGCCAAGGGGUACUGUUAGCUGUGUGUUGGGGCACACUUUCAAUGCUCCAGUACGACUUCCUGGUUGCAAGGUCAGCCAGAGGUGAGAAGUUAGGUUCCACUUAGGUCUUUCCUGAGCACACACAGCUCUGCCAUGUGUAUGGCCUUCCAGAUCCCUUGUGAUAUGUUGGAGCUUUUUCAAAGCCCCCUGUGAAUAACCCAUUCCCAAGAUCUUCCUUUUAAAUAUUUUGCCAGGCUCCCAUUUGCCCCAACUGGUAUUGCAGCCUCAGGCAGCCACAUGUUAAAUCAUUGCUAUUGGUUGUUUUUGACAAACACCCUAGGGAUAAGUUUUACACCCCAGAUCCCAAGCAAUGAGCUGUGAAUCAGAUCAAAUAAUGACAACAACAUCCUGUGAAUGGAGCUUUCCCAGGGAGCUGAAAGACAGGUAAAAUGUGACAAUUCUAAGGAGAUGUGCUUUUGGGGGAGCUCUAAAUCCAGGUUAUACCUCCAGUGGCUGUAAGGCUGCUCAUUUGCACAGCUUCCAUAAUUGCAGAGCUGCUGUUUUCAAGAUUUCUGCAGAGUGGGAGUGAGGAGUACAGGAAUAGUGCAAGUUAAAAUGUUACAACAUUUUGCUAUUCUUACCAAGAUUCAGCAGUUUUUCUUGCAUAAAUCCUCCUUGGAUUUUUUGCAAGCCUUUGGUUAAUUUCCAGAGUUUAAAAAAAGUUGGUUUUUUUUUUUUUGUUGUUUUUGUUUUUUUGGCCACGUAUUCUUAAGAGUGGAUUUUUGGAAGGUUAUUACUUCACCAUUCUGGAAGUCUCCAACCUCUCAACCUGACCUAGAGCUGCAAUUACCAGUUAUGAUGUAUUAAAGUGAACUAAACAUGGCCUGAGAAGGAGUCUGUACUUCAAUAUUUGAGUCCUUGUGGAUGAACUGCAACCUAACUUGAUAGGUGGACAAGAUUAAAAACCUAAUUUAGGAGUAUGCACCUGUAACAAUAGCUGAGUCUUGGCCAAUCCCAGCAGUCAUACUUCAACCACUCAUAUACAGCUGAGUGUUCAAACUGUGUUCAAAAAAGGCAAACGCCCAGCUGUAACCAACCCAGCUGUUUUUAUGCCUUACUUCCGAUUUCUGUAUGUCACUUCCCUUUUUUGUCUAUAAAUUUGUUCUGACCACUAGGCAUCACUGUAGUCUCUCUGAAUCUGCUGUGAUUCUGAAGGCUGCCCAGCUUGUGAAUCAUUCAUUGCUCAAUUAAACCCUUUAAAUUUAAUUUGGCUGAAGUUUUUCUUUUAACAGAGGCUUAGCAAUGGAAUUAAGGGGGUGGGGAGGCUGUCCUUUUGGUGAAUUUUUUUUUUUUUUUUUUUUUACGGCUGCACCAAAUGCUUUUCCAGAAGUUUUUGUCCUCUCUUUGAGCACUUGGAAAGCCUGUGCCCUUUGUAACCACCUGCCAGGCCUUGCAAGGUAGAAAGGCAUCUACAUUCAGAGAAACCUUCUGAGGCCCUCCUGAUACAAAGAUAAUCCAAGGGGAGUCCCAAUGUCAGCCUGAGAUGAGAGGAUCUUCCAGCCUCUUGGGACCUUCUCUCUGAUCAGCUUUCUCAGCGAGGUUUCUCAGUGCCACUAGUCACUCUUCUCCUUGCCUUGAUGGUGCCCCACCAAUUGGUAGCUAUCUUCUCACUUUUGGCCACUCCUCAGGCACUUUUUGUGUAGUUCAUGAUGCCCUAAGAGAUUUUAAACUGUCUGUAACACUGGCAAGAGCUAUAUCUCUUCACUAUUGAAAAAUAAGGAAGUCUCAAUGACUUUCACGAGAAUAUUCAGGAAUUAUAACUAAGGUCUGCAAGUCUGGCUUAGAAGCAACUGCCUUCAGAAUGGCCAGUUAUUGCUGGUGACCAGUGUGAUAACUGAUCAGUAGAAACUCCACACCCUUGGAUGAGUCAUGUUUCCAGGCUGAUUACAUCUCUUUCACAGCAAACGGCCUUCUCAGGAGAGCCAGCUUAGCAUCUCACUGGAGCCAGACAGCCUUGGUAUUAGAGUGAUAGCAUAAGGGAUCCUUUCUGUUUGCUAUAAUAAGCCUCACUUCCUAUAAAGAAAGAAGUGGAGAGAUUUUGACUUUGCAAGACACUUCUAGAGAAAAAUUGGCCCACACAGUAGAGGAGCAGAAGGAGAACAACUUGGAUGUAUGCAUCAGACCUUGCCCCCUUGAAAAUCCUGAACCAGAGAGUGUGGCAGAUUACAGAUGACUGCAAAUUCAUUGAUAUUCCUCCUGUUGAGAGAGCCCUGAGUCACCAUUUAAGAAGUCCGACUACCCUGCUGAAGAGAUCACAUGGAGGGGCUCUGAGACUACAGCCUGAGAGCUGUUCCCACCAAGGUGUCAGGCUUGUGACUGAAGCCAUCUUGGAUGUUCCAGACUGGCCCAGGUAGCAGCUUAGUACCAUCAGGUGACUCUAGUUGGUGCCAUAUGGAACAGAAGAAUCACCCAGCUGAUCGCCCCUCAAAUUCCUGACCCAUGGUAUCAUGAGAUAGAAUAACUGUUUUAAGCUACUAAGUCUUGGAUUAGUUUGUUAUGCAGAGACAAAUAACCAGAACAGGGAGCCAGUUGCCCUUCUGUGAGAGUCUGCCUUAGACAUGAGCAAGGGACUAGAGGUAGACCCUGACUUUUCUGCAGCUGCAUCUAGAUGGGGCCCAUAUAACCCCUCUUAGGGUGUCCUGCUGGUGCAUCACUUGAUGGGGCUCCUAGGUGCCUGCUUAGUACACAAGCUGAUCAUACCCAGGUAGGAACCUCCCUUGUCCUCUUGGUGAAUAGCAAAUCUUGUGCUUAUGACCAGCAAAUAUGUAUCUAGAAGGGAAAUUACUGAGUCACGGAUAUGUAAAUUUCUAAACUUUUUGAUACAUACUGUCAAAUUGUAUUCCAGAAAGAUUCCACCCUUUUCCAGUUCCUUCCAAAGUCUAUGAGAGUGCUUACUCCCUGUCCCCUCAGUAACACUGGCUGUUAUCAACUGUGUGGCAACUGUGAUUUUAUAUGUAAUGUCAUCCAUUUGCAUGACCUUGUCAGAGGCCUUUACCAGAGCAACUCCAUCUUGAAUAGGAGCUGGAUAAAAUGAGGCUGAGACCUACUGGGCUGCAUUCCCAGAUGGUUAAGGCAUUCUAAGUCACAGGAUGAGACAGGAGGUCAGCACAAGAUACAAGUCAUAAAGAGCUUGCUGAUAAAACAGGUUGUAGUAGGCCGGGUACGGUGGGUCAUGCCUGUAAUCCCAGCAUUUUGGGAGGCCAAGGCAGGUGGAUCAUGAGGUCAGAAUAUUGAGACCAUCCUGGCCAACAUGGUGAAACCCCGUCUCUACUAAAAAUA